ACGAACGCUGGCGGCAGGCCUAACACAUGCAAGUCGAGCGAGGACUUCGGUCCUAGCGGCGGACGGGUGAGUAACGCGUGGGAACGUGCCCUUUGCUUCGGAAUAGCCCUGGGAAACUGGGAGUAAUACCGGAUGAGCCCUUUGGGGGAAAGAUUUAUCGGCGAAGGAUCGGCCCGCGUUGGAUUAGGUAGUUGGUGGGGUAAUGGCCUACCAAGCCGACGAUCCAUAGCUGGUUUGAGAGGAUGAUCAGCCACACUGGGACUGAGACACGGCCCAGACUCCUACGGGAGGCAGCAGUGGGGAAUCUUAGACAAUGGGGGAAACCCUGAUCUAGCCAUGCCGCGUGAGCGAUGAAGGCCUUAGGGUUGUAAAGCUCUUUCUGCUGGGAAGAUAAUGACGGUACCAGCAGAAGAAGCCCCGGCUAACUCCGUG
rnacentral:rRNA from 1 species